rnacentral:rRNA from 1 species
UACAGAGGUCUCAAGCGUUGUUCGGAUUCAUUGGGCGUAAAGGGUGCGUAGGUGGUGAUGCAAGUCUGGUGUGAAAUCUCGGAGCUCAACUCCGAAAUUGCACCGGAUACUGCGUGACUCGAGGACUGUAGAGGAGAUCGGAAUUCACGGUGUAGCAGUGAAAUGCGUAGAUAUCGUGAGGAAGACCAGUUGCGAAGGCGGAUCUCUGGGCAGUUCCUGACACUGAGACGCGAAAGCUAGGGGAGCGAACAGG